GUCCCCAAUCACACCGCCAGUCACCCCACAGAUCGGCCCUGAUCGCCUGCCAGGCCUAUAGACCCUACCCAUGCACAAAUUGUGUGCACGGGGCAUCUGGUUAAAAUAUAAUGAGAAAUUAGUGUAUAACUUUAAACAAUAUUUUACUAAAGGAAGAAAAUUUUAAAGAACAAUUUUGAGUUUACUGUACUAAUUGAGUGAUUUUAACAUGAGAAGCUGGGAUAUAAAGAUAACUCAGGUGUUAUCUUUAUACACUACUUAUCACCUACUGGGGAGACCAGAGUGUGCAGAGAAUGUGUGGGGAAACGGAAGCUGGAUUUUGAAGAGUAAGGAAACAAGAUAUUAGCAAGGAAUCAUUUUUAAUACCAAUGGCAUGUGUGUAAUAGUCUCCCAUGGGAAAAUUGAAUACUUAUUCCAGUUGAUCGAUACACUAGAAAUUGUCUUGUAAUUACAACACUAGUUUAGUAUUAGCAAAUUUUUGCUGAUUGCCGUUGUAGGAACUUGUAAAUAUUUUUUUGCACCUCCUUGGAAAUUAUAGGAGCUAGGUCACACCAGGAAAAACAACUUGUAGAAUACAGUUUUGACUAAGCCUGUUUCCUCCGUGCAAACCACAACGCUGGCUAUAUAUCUAAUGUUAUCCAGCUGGAAAUUUCAUUUCCCUUCACCAGCAUGACUUUCGGUGCCUGUUAAGCCAAAUACCUCCUUGUUUUACUUUUUACUGCAGUUCUUGUUUCUAGUAUUAAUAUUAUUUAAUCAGGGGGAAAAAUACCAUUUGGACAUUUUCAAAUGCCUCAAAAAAUGCUCAGUUAAUAGAGGAGUAAGUUAGAUUUGGUCCUCCCACAUCCAUCUCUAUCAUGUUGUCAUCCACCCUUCUUGUUUUAGAAUGUUUCCAGUUAGAAAUAACUUCUCUCUUAGCUAGAUCUGUUUCCCUAACUUUCACUUCCUGGUUCUUGGCAAUCUAAGUCUCUGCAUGUGAAAGUUAGUCUUCUUACAAACAGUAACUUUUAAAGUAUCUGAGAAUGACUGUUAAAUCCUGCUUAAGUCUUUUUUGAUGCGCCUAGGGGGGAAGCCCUAAUUCUCAAACCAUAUGCACAUGACAUGGUUUUCAGACCUUUCUCCAUCCACAUCACUAAACUCAUGACAAAGUCUGUUUGUCACUAUACCUCUUAAAACAUGGUAGCCAGAGCUGAACUGACUACUUCCGGUAUGGCUGAACAAUUGCUGAAGACAAUGAAGCUAUUAACUGGAUACUGUGCUUCUAUUCAUGCAGCCUGAAAUGUACAUUAACAUUUUUUGGCAGCCACAUUACCCUUUGAUCAUAUUGAGCUAUGGUCAACUAAAACCUUGUUGUUUUUUUUCCUGUGAACUGCUUUAAAUAUAAUCUUUCUUAUCCUUGCCAGUUAAUGCUUUUAAAGUAAAUGCCAGAUAUUAUGUAUUGCAUUAUAUGAAAGUUGAAAUGAAUUUGUUUUUAUCAAAUGUCAUCCCAUUGGACUAUCUAUCUGAAGAUAAAGAGCUAAAGCAAAGUUUUCACGGGGCUUUCACAAAUAUUUUUAUUUAAUCUUUGCAACAACUAUCCAACAGUCAGAAGAGAAAAAUUACUUUCCACUAAGUCAGGAAUUGGCAGACAUAACACUUCAUCCCAGGCCUGUGAUUCCAGAACCCAUGCUCAUCUCAUUACUGCUCACCGUGUAAGCAUUCAGUUUGUCCUUUGCUGUGUGCCCAGCACUCUGUGGCUGGUACAUCCAGUGAACAAGACAGAUUACAGUCCCUGCCCUUCGGUGUUUAUGGCCUGGCAUGUAAAUAUUACCUCCAGGCCCUGAGCACGUUCUAUGGGGAAGGCUGUGUGGUAAAUUGUAGUAUUGCUCAAAAUGUCUAUUGCACCUCUCGACCAGGGUCCUCUCUGCAGGAGGACUAUAUUUCCCACUCCGUUGACACCAGGUUUGGACACUUGGUUUUCCUUGACCAGUGAAAAUGUUAGAGUAAGAGACAUGUGGGACAUUUGAGCAGAUGUUUCAAACUCUAUCUUAUGUUUCUGCUGGUGGUCUUUUCUUUCUCCCAUAGAACCAGCAUGCUUUGGUGAGGGCUGGUCCCAGGACGGCAGAGCCAUCCGACUGGGUCCCUGGAUGUCGGUGCCUCGCUGAAGCUGAUUCACAAUAGACAUUUUAUUAAUAAAUCCACAUUCUGAAUAAGUAAGAAACAAAACCACCACCACAAAACCAAGGUUACUUAACAGGUACGCAUCAUUCUGGCAGCGGGGCAGGGGCUGUACCUUUGGCUAAGUCCAGAGUUAGGAUCCACGUUUGAUGCCUCUCUGGGGAAGACGCUUCCAUGUUAGGAGACACUCAACUAAAGAGCAGUGUGAGCUGAAGGCAUGGAGACCUGUUCUCGAAAGGUGAGUACUCGUUCUCAUUACGUGGUACUUGUUCAGUGAGCUAGUUUUUCAUUAUUUUCUUUAUUAAAUGGGGGCUGUUCUGUUACGUUCUCAGAUGUAAAACAUAUCUCAGUGAGUUUCACAUAGUCACUUGAAACUUGUCAAGUGUUUAAAAUAUUUUCUAGUUAAUAAUAUUUCAGAGAAAAUAUCAUAGUGCAUUAGGGAAGCAUCAUAUAAUCUAAAGGUAGUUUUAUGAAAUAUAUUUUUCAAAUUAAGCAUAUUUGGGAAUUCCUAUCAAUUUACCUUUGAACCUCAGUGGAUUUUCUUUUCUAUUCUCCAAUAUAAAAAAAAAAAAAAUGUUUGUAUGUUGUAUUGUUUAGCCUGUCAAAUAGCCUGAAAGUUAAAUUCCUAAUUCAAGUGUUUUUUAAUUCAUUACUCUUUUUUCUUUUGUUAAGUGGUCAUGUAUUUAUAUCUUUAUAGUAUAUACUUUUCUGAUUGUAUUAUGGGGUCUUUGAUUAUGUGGGUUAUCAGCUUUGUCUCACUUUGUCACUUAGAAGAAUAUCCACAUUAAAUAAAUGAAAAUUGGAGUAUUUAUCUUAUUUUAAUUAAUACAAUUCUAAGUUAUACUGAGCUAACCCCCACCUUUAUAAGAACAUAUAUAUCUUGAUUUCUUUAAAAACUAUGUAUCAGAAAUGUAAUAGAAUUUUAUUUUCUGAUGAGCAUGCUUAUCAGUUUAAAUGUUACAGAUUUUAGAUGUAUGUUAAAAUGUCCUCAUUUCUGUCAAUUGCUAUUUGUUACUUAGUUGGUUGAUAGAGAACAAUAUAAAGUUGGAUUUCUUGGAUAAUACUUGGAUAUGUUCUAAAAUGAAACUGUUUUCUAUCCUUUGAAGAUUUAUCUCUUCCUUAUCAUUAUUUUGUAAGCCUUUGGCAGAAAUUAUUUAACUUCUCCCGUUCAUUAUAUCUUCCUCAUUUCAUUGAUUCCCUAUAGUCGAAUUUUAUGGUUCUAAACAAAUGUCCCCUACAGACUUCAGUAAUUAAAAAUGUCAGUUAAAUGGAAAAUUUGUGAUAUACGAGAACUUACCUUUUAGUUCUAUUUAUUUUAGUUUUUUAAAAAGUGAUUCUACUUUUUAAUAAAGGUCAGGGGUUAUUCAGUGCAAAAUAGUAUGCAAAAGUUACAAUAAGUAACUAUAUGAUCUCUUUUUGUUAAUUUCUUAAUAUUAAGGUUUUUAAAAACUAGAAAUAUGCUAGUAUCCAAUUGUGGAUGAAAAUGAAAGAUUUUUUGUGUUGUUUUUUGCUUUUUUAACUUUUAAAUCUUCACAGAGUUAUCAUUUUGAAACCAAUAGCAGUUUCACAUUAUAAACUAGGAUUACUUUUUUAUUAGCCUUAACUUCCUUUAAUUUAAUGGAAAGAACCAGUCCCAAAGGUGUGUUUAUAACUUAAUACACAUUAUUCCUGUGAGGCUGAGUAAAACAUAAAAACCAUUCCAUGAAUCCAGAUCUUAGCACAAAACCUGUUCUGCUGUUAACUGUCUUGGGACUAACCAGGUGCAGUUAGAACUGUUUAAAGGUGCUGGCCUUUCCUGCCUUAAUUCAGAGUGGUUCUUUAAAGACUCUUCAGCUGUUUGUCCUCGUGUUCAGUACUUGUCUUACUACAUAAAAAAAAUUUAAAAACAGGGUUUGGGCUGUUUGUUUUGGUUUUUAAAAACUAGUUUGAGAAAGUUUCUUUGCUACUUGUUCCCCAUGCAAAUUUAUAAGAGCUCAAAUUCCCCAGAAGAAAGGAUUUUUGUAAGGUUAAAAGUAUAAAAGGUCCCUAACGGUAUACAGUUGCCUUAAUUUUAACAUUAUACGUUUUUCUUAUCCUAUAGGUUAUAUGUGAAAAUAUUUGGGGCAUCCUGUUUAUAUUUAAUAAUCGCUUGCGUGCUCUGUAUAGUCAGUAGCACAAAAAGAUUUUAUGUUAACCGAAUGCUGAGCUACUUCUGAAUAAAGCCCUGUUCUUUCCAGUAGAUACCUUGUUUCACAUACAGGCUGGCCUGCUGAAUCCUGUAUCCGCCCGCACUCAGUCACUGACUUCCCUCUGUGCGUCCACAUGUGACUGUGGCGCUCUCAGUGCCUCGGCCUGGUGGAAGGAGUUAAGGGAGAAGCAGGAAGGGAAUAAUCGUUUCAGGACAUGGUGAUCAUACAAUAGACAGGCCCUUGAGAGAGGAAAGGCUACAGCUCUGUCUUUUUACGUGACCUUUGGCUGAUUCCUGAAGCACGCUGGCCUCAUACUCCUUGUCCUUAAAGGAGAACAUUGUAGUCUUAAAAUAGAUCCGGAGACAUAGGACCACGAACACACUGAUGAUUUCAGAGGGAAGGGAGGUGGGGGAGGAGGGAUUAACCAGGUUACUUACAUGCACAGCCCAUGGACACAGCCCAGAGUGUGGCAAAGGCUUGGGAGGGGCAGGUUCGAAGGGGGGUGGUAGGGCUUUGAUGCGGGAAGAGGGGCAAAGAGGACAUCUGUAAUACUCAACAAUGAAGAUUAAA